UGUCCUUAGAAAGAUCAGAGAUGCAUGUGAAAAGUUGUUCUUUUAGACAUUUAUAUCCAAGUUCUAGACCAAAAUUAUGAACACUUGGUAUAAGGCAGCUUCCUAAGUUCCUAACAACCUGAAGGCAGGAGUUCCAGAGUCUAUCCAUGUCAUGCACGUACACCAGAGGUUUCAAGCCUUUCUUCUCUGAUGCUUUUGGACUACGGCUCCAAUCAUCCACAGUCAGACAUUCUUCCAUUGUGGCAGGGGCCCAUAGAGAAAUCUGCCACUCUUGGAAGAUAAGGAUAUGAUGAGAACUCUGAGUAAUAGAACUAGCCUUCGUAUGAAAUAGCUACCGCUUCAAUAAUACGUGGUCUGAGUGCCCAUGGGGAAAAUCCCUUCUGCAGUAAAAUGCUAAUUACAGUUA